rnacentral:misc_RNA from 1 species
GAUGAAGAACGUAGCGAAAUGCGAUAAGUAAUGCGAAUUGCAGAAUUCAGUGAGUCAUCGAAUCUUUGAACGCACAUUGCGCCCUGUGGUAUUCCGCAGGGCAUGCCUGUUCGAGCGUCAUUUCAACCCUCAAGCUCUGCUUGGUGUUGGGCCCUGCCCGCUGCGGCCGGCCCUAAAGACAGUGGCGGUGCCGCCUGGCCCUGAGCGUAGUACAUCUCUCGCUCCAGUGCCCGGUGGUAGCCUGCCAGAACCCCAACUCUCGUGGUUGACCUCGGAUCAGGUAGGGAUACCCGCUGAACUUAAGCAUAUCAAUAAGCGGAUGA